GCCGUCAGUUAGGGCCAAGGCCUUGAUAACCAGUCCCCGAGCUUCGAGGGGGCGGGCUCGGGUGCGGGCGCGGCGGGGGCUGCGGCUUCAGUUUGUAGAAUCUGACCAGAUGAGUUUUGAAUGAGCCCACAAAGGGCUUCCAACUCUCACCUUCCUCUUCUGAAGGUUGGCACUCCACCCCUGUGAGCAUCAGUUUCUAAAUUUUCCCCAAGGACUGACAGAAAACUCAGCAGGGUGUGUCUGGCAGUUACUCCAAGAAACAUGGCCAAGUUUGCCCUGAAUCAGAACCUGCCUGACCUGGGUGGCCCUCGCCUGUGCCCCGGUGCCAGUGCAGGCGCCCGCAGCCCGAGCUCGCCCUACUCGGUGGAAACGCCAUACGGCUUCCACCUGGACCUGGACUUCCUCAAGUACGUGGAGGAGUUGGAGCGCGGCCCCGCAACUCGCCGCGC